GGUACCUGGAUUAGCGGUUAGGCCAUGGCACUCUCACUGCCAUGGACGGAGUUCAAUUCCCGGCCAGGGAACCA